AACCCCAUGUUCCCAGAGACUUAGAGGUACUAUGUGAAGAACUCGAAGACAUGCUCUGAAGACUCAGGCCAUUUCCUAAUUUUGUAGAAGCCCUGAAGCACAUCCAGUCAAAACACAUGACUUUCUGGCCUGAGCUGUGGCAACAUUUGUUUCCAUCCUGCCUGAAGGGCUGAAUACGAAAGACUGAAAUCCCUGCCUUCCACAGUUUACCUUCCAUACUGGAAACCAGCAUCAGUAAACCUCUGAAUGCCUCAUAGGAUGGGGUUGUGAGGGAAGGAAAGCAGCACGAAUGACCCAUGAUGUGGGGGAACAGUGAGUGGAGAGGGUGGUGCUGACCCUAAAAAGCAAGUUAGUCCAUCUGACUCCAUAACUGAACAGUUAUCCUGGAUCGAUGCCAAGGCCAUUUGCUUUGCCUGCAAAUGGUUUUUAAGUUUCUGAGGAUCUGACCUUUCAAAAAUGCCUUCUGUGGGAGAAAAACCAGUUAUCACCAUCCAGGGAGUGUUCUCCACUUUAAGCCCAGCUCAACCUCAGCAGAGGCCAAAUACAUUUGCCACAAGAAAACUGAGAAGAUUUUUAAGAAAUAUAUUCUUAAGGACUCAAGUAAACUGAAGAAACCUCAAGAUUUU